UAAAACUUUCAACAACGGAUCUCUUGGUUCUGGCAUCGAUGAAGAACGCAGCGAAAUGCGAUAAGUAAUGUGAAUUGCAGAAUUCAGUGAAUCAUCGAAUCUUUGAACGCACAUUGCGCCCGUUAGUAUUCUAGCGGGCAUGCCUGUUCGAGCGUCAU
rnacentral:rRNA from 1 species